rnacentral:rRNA from 1 species
ACGCUAGCUACAGGCUUAACACAUGCAAGUCGAGGGGCAUCAGGAAGAAAGCUUGCUUUCUUUGCUGGCGACCGGCGCACGGGUGAGUAACACGUAUCCAACCUGCCCUUUACUCGGGGAUAGCCUUUCGAAAGAAAGAUUAAUACCCGAUAGCAUAAUGAUUCCGCAUGGUUUCAUUAUUAAAGGAUUCCGGUAAAGGAUGGGGAUGCGUUCCAUUAGGUUGUUGGUGAGGUAACGGCCCACCAAGCCUUCGAUGGAUAGGGGUUCUGAGAGGAAGGUCCCCCACAUUGGAACUGAGACACGGUCCAAACUCCUACGGGAGGCAGCAGUGAGGAAUAUUGGUCAAUGGGCGCUAGCCUGAACCAGCCAAGUAGCGUGAAGGAUGAAGGCUCUAUGGGUCGUAAACUUCUUUUAUAUAAGAAUAAAGUGCAGUAUGUAUACUGUUUUGUAUGUAUUAUAUGAAUAAGGAUCGGCUAACUCCGUGCCAGCAGCCGCGGUAAUACGGAGGAUCCGAGCGUUAUCCGGAUUUAUUGGGUUUAAAGGGAGCGUAGGUGGACUGGUAAGUCAGUUGUGAAAGUUUGCGGCUCAACCGUAAAAUUGCAGUUGAUACUGUCAGUCUUGAGUACAGUAGAGGUGGGCGGAAUUCGUGGUGUAGCGGUGAAAUGCUUAGAUAUCACGAAGAACUCCGAUUGCGAAGGCAGCUCACUGGACUGCAACUGACACUGAUGCUCGAAAGUGUGGGUAUCAAACAGGAUUAGAUACCCUGGUAGUCCACACAGUAAACGAUGAAUACUCGCUGUUUGCGAUAUACAGUAAGCGGCCAAGCGAAAGCAUUAAGUAUUCCACCUGGGGAGUACGCCGGCAACGGUGAAACUCAAAGGAAUUGACGGGGGCCCGCACAAGCGGAGGAACAUGUGGUUUAAUUCGAUGAUACGCGAGGAACCUUACCCGGGCUUAAAUUGCAGUGGAAUGAUGUGGAAACAUGUCAGUGAGCAAUCACCGCUGUGAAGGUGCUGCAUGGUUGUCGUCAGCUCGUGCCGUGAGGUGUCGGCUUAAGUGCCAUAACGAGCGUAACCCUUAUCUUCAGUUACUAACAGGUCAUGCUGGGGACUCUGGAGAGACUGCCGUCGUAAGAUGUGAGGAAGGUGGGGAUGACGUCAAAUCAGCACGGCCCUUACGUCCGGGGCUACACACGUGUUACAAUGGGGGGUACAGAAGGCAGCUAGCGGGUGACCGUAUGCUAAUCCCAAAAGCCUCUCUCAGUUCGGAUCGAAGUCUGCAACCCGACUUCGUGAAGCUGGAUUCGCUAGUAAUCGCGCAUCAGCCACGGCGCGGUGAAUACGUUCCCGGGCCUUGUACACACCGCCCGUCAAGCCAUGGGAGCCGGGGGUACCUGAAGUACGUAACCGCAAGGAUCGUCCUAGGGUAAAACUGGUGACUGGGG